AGACCCGAAACCCGGUGAUCUAGCCAUGGGCAGGUUGAAGGUUGGGUAACACUAACUGGAGGACCGAACCGACUAAUGUUGAAAAAUUAGCGGAUGACCUGUGGCUGGGGGUGAAAGGCCAAUCAAACCGGGAGAUAGCUGGUUCUCCCCGAAAGCUAUUUAGGUAGCGCCUCGUGAACUCAUCUCCGGGGGUAGAGCACUGUUUCGGCUAGGGGGCCAUCCCGGCUUACCAACCCGAUGCAAACUGCGAAUACCGGAGAAUGUUAUCACGGGAGACACACGGCGGGUGCUAACGUCCGUCGUGAAGAGGGAAACAACCCAGACCGCCAGCUAAGGUCCCAAAGUCAUGGUUAAGUGGGAAACGAUGUGGGAAGGCCCAGACAGCCAGGAUGUUGGCUUAGAAGCAGCCAUCAUUUAAAGAAAGCGUAAUAGCUCACUGGUCGAGUCGGCCUGCGCGGAAGAUGUAACGGGGCUAAACCAUGCACCGAAGCUGCGGCAGCGACACUCAGGUGUUGUUGGGUAGGGGAGCGUUCUGUAAGCCUGCGAAGGUGGCCUGUGAGGGUUGCUGGAGGUAUCAGAAGUGCGAAUGCUGACAUAAGUAACGAUAAAGCGGGUGAAAAGCCCGCUCGCCGGAAGACCAAGGGUUCCUGUCCAACGUUAAUCGGGGCAGGGUGAGUCGACCCCUAAGGCGAGGCCGAAAGGCGUAGUCGAUGGGAAACGGGUUAAUAUUCCCGUACUUGGUGUUACUGCGAAGGGGGGACGGAGAAGGCUAUGUUGGCCGGGCGACGGUUGUCCCGGUUUAAGCGUGUAGGCUGGUUUUCCAGGCAAAUCCGGAAAAUCAAGGCUGAGGCGUGACGACGAGGCACUACGGUGCUGAAGCAACAAAUGCCCUGCUUCCAGGAAAAGCCUCUAAGCAUCAGGUAACAUCAAAUCGUACCCCAAACCGACACAGGUGGUCAGGUAGAGAAUACCAAGGCGCUUGAGAGAACUCGGGUGAAGGAACUAGGCAAAAUGGUGCCGUAACUUCGGGAGAAGGCACGCUGACACGUAGGUGAAGUGAUUUACUCAUGGAGCUGAAGUCAGUCGAAGAUACCAGCUGGCUGCAACUGUUUAUUAAAAACACAGCACUGUGCAAACACGAAAGUGGACGUAUACGGUGUGACGCCUGCCCGGUGCCGGAAGGUUAAUUGAUGGGGUCAGCGCAAGCGAAGCUCCUGAUCGAAGCCCCGGUAAACGGCGGCCGUAACUAUAACGGUCCUAAGGUAGCGAAAUUCCUUGUCGGGUAAGUUCCGACCUGCACGAAUGGCGUAAUGAUGGCCAGGCUGUCUCCACCCGAGACUCAGUGAAAUUGAACUCGCUGUGAAGAUGCAGUGUACCCGCGGCAAGACGGAAAGACCCCGUGAACCUUUACUAUAGCUUGACACUGAACAUUGAGCCUUGAUGUGUAGGAUAGGUGGGAGGCUUUGAAGUGUGGACGCCAGUCUGCAUGGAGCCGGCCUUGAAAUACCACCCUUUAAUGUUUGAUGUUCUAACGUGGACCCGUGAUCCGGGUUGCGGACAGUGUCUGGUGGGUAGUUUGACUGGGGCGGUCUCCUCCUAAAGAGUAACGGAGGAGCACGAAGGUUGGCUAAUCCUGGUCGGACAUCAGGAGGUUAGUGCAAUGGCAUAAGCCAGCUUGACUGCGAGCGUGACGGCGCGAGCAGGUGCGAAAGCAGGUCAUAGUGAUCCGGUGGUUCUGAAUGGAAGGGCCAUCGCUCAACGGAUAAAAGGUACUCCGGGGAUAACAGGCUGAUACCGCCCAAGAGUUCAUAUCGACGGCGGUGUUUGGCACCUCGAUGUCGGCUCAUCACAUCCUGGGGCUGAAGUAGGUCCCAAGGGUAUGGCUGUUCGCCAUUUAAAGUGGUACGCGAGCUGGGUUUAGAACGUCGUGAGACAGUUCGGUCCCUAUCUGCCGUGGGCGCUGGAGAACUGAGGGGGGCUGCUCCUAGUACGAGAGGACCGGAGUGGACGCAUCACUGGUGUUCGGGUUGUCAUGCCAAUGGCACUGCCCGGUAGCUAAAUGCGGAAGAGAUAAGUGCUGAAAGCAUCUAAGCACGAAACUUGCCCCGA
rnacentral:rRNA from 1 species